GGUGUAGUCAAGUACUUGACUUGUCGGUGCAUGUGUCAAGAUGGGAUUGACCACUCCAGUUUAGGAGCUAUGUACAGUCGUAUUUCAAUUUAGCAAAACCUUGGCCAGGAUAGUCUUUGUGAGGAGUCACAAGACUAUUUGAGUUGAGCAUGAUUCGGAUGAUCUAAUCAGGGUUGACAGUUUAACCCUGAGUCAUCCUAAACACAGAGGUCAAAAGGAUGAAUUAUACAGUAACCAUAUUCACGUAGGUUCUGAGUGUUGCGAUUGCGACCAUUCGACCUAUCCGAUCGUCGGGUACCAUUGCUAGAUGGUCACUUCGAUUAGUA
rnacentral:lncRNA from 1 species